rnacentral:lncRNA from 1 species
CUCACCUCUGCAGUCUCCCCCAAAGACCCAUCACCCAAGUCGAAGCAUAGGAUGCCACCCGACCAGCCCAGAUGGAGGGACCCUUUCCCAAUGCCCGGCCAGUCCUCUCACAGCCGUCUACGGCCUCCAAGACAGGGAAAGGAUCCUGAUGCCACGUGGGAUCCUGGACGGCAUCCUGGACGGGAUCCUGGGAUGGCAAAGGGCCUGGGGAAGGACUGAGGACUCUGAAUCAGCUGUGGGCUUCCACGUAAGAGCUCACCCACGGCAGCUCACUUACCCUAACAACGACUAUUCGCUGUGAGCUGCCAAUCUUCCUCUUUCUGUAGGUGGGCUGCCUCCACAGCAUGGCCACCAACGGACGAGUGGUGCAGGUCUGCACCCAGGAGCCAAACCCGGGCCACCGAAGCAGAGCGCACCAAACUUAACUAUUAGGCCAUCAGGGCUGGUCUGAACUACAUUUCUUUUAAAAAGCAAACAAAAAGUUUAAUGUAGGAAAAAAAGGACGUGCGGUGUGAUUUCUCCGAUUUGUUCCUUCCUACCAUGAGGCAGGAGUCCCACCUCCGAGUCUAAAUCCAGUCCUGGCCUCUCCAGCAUUCCUCGGCACCACAGGCUCCCAGGCAAGCACCCCUCCAGGCUGGCUGGCCCACGGGUCUCCGCCGGGGCAGUGAGUGAGGCCAGCGGGCCACCACGGUCACAGUGCAUGACCACAGGGACAGGACUCAAACCCUGCCUGGUGGCCCCAGGUGGAGCUCCCAUCAUUCUGAUCACAGAGGCCGUGUAGAUCCAUCCACUCCUGGGCGGGCGAGCAGGUGGGCAAGCAUGCUGCUGGCAGACCCAAAACUGAGACCCACCUGUCUGUGGGCGGCCAGUAGCCCACUGGGCCCAUGUGAGGGGCAGCCAGUCCUCACGGGCCCAGGUACCUCCUAGGCCACCCUAGGACCCUGGACCCCCAUGGGUGCUAUUUGGGAGCCUCUGAGACCCUUGGAAUCGGCCACUGUUUGGACAGCGUUCUCUGAAGACUGUGUCCCCGGGGGGUCCAACCUGAAGCCAAAUCCACGUGAAAUGGGGCAAUGGAGGAGCUGUCAGGGCCAGCUUGGGGACCAGGGCAUCUCCCUGCCCAGUGGCUCCUCUGGACCAGGUCAGGUGGAGGGACAGGCAGGAGCCAGCGCUGCCACCAGCCUCAUCGGCCAGCUGUGCCCCUUGUCCUGCGUCUGCCCUGGGGUGAGUCCAGCUCUCA